rnacentral:rRNA from 1 species
UACGUAGGGUGCAAGCGUUGUCCGGAAUUAUUGGGCGUAAAGAGCUCGUAGGCGGUUUGUCGCGUCUGCCGUGAAAGUCCGGGGCUCAACUCCGGAUCUGCGGUGGGUACGGGCAGACUAGAGUGAUGUAGGGGAGACUGGAAUUCCUGGUGUAGCGGUGAAAUGCGCAAAUAUCAGGAGGAACACCGGUGGCGAAGGCGGGUCUCUGGGCCGUAACUGACGCUGAGGAGCGAAAGCGUGGGGAGCGAACAGG